rnacentral:rRNA from 1 species
GACGUAGGGCGCGAGCGUUGUCCGGAUUUAUUGGGCGUAAAGAGCUCGUAGGCGGUUUGUCGCGUCUGCUGUGAAAACUGGGGGCUCAACUCCCAGCCUGCAGUGGGUACGGGCAGACUAGAGUGCGGUAGGGGAGAUUGGAAUUCCUGGUGUAGCGGUGGAAUGCGCAGAUAUCAGGAGGAACACCGAUGGCGAAGGCAGAUCUCUGGGCCGUAACUGACGCUGAGGAGCGAAAGCAUGGGGAGCGAACAGG